UUGUUCUCCGCGCUCGCUCAGUUUCUGCCUGGAAGUUGCCGCGGGGGAAAAGAGCUAUGAUGGUGGCGCCAUCUGGUGUGAUGCCUUGCAACUAAGUGGCCACCUGUCGUCGAUCUCUGCAACUACCCGACGUCAACAAGCACUGGUCACCCCGGAGCCGUUUCUUCGCCGCGGCAUCGUUGAUUUUCGAAUAAAUUGUUUCUCUCCA